GCCAGGUGUGGUGGCACGUGCCUGUAGUCCCAGCUACUUGGGAGGCUGAGGUGGGAGGAUCGCUUGAGCCCAGGAAUUCUGGGCUGUAGUGCGCUACACCGAUCGGGUGUGCGCACUAAGUUCAGCAUCAAUAUGGUGACCUCCCAGGAGCAGGGGACCACCAGGUUGCCUAAGGAGGGGUAAACUGGCCCAGGUUGGAAAUGGAGCAGGUCAAAACUCCCAUGCUGAUCAGUAGUGGGAUCACGCCUGUGAAUAGCCGCUGCACUCCAGCCUGGGCAACAUAGUGAGACUCCGUCUCA
rnacentral:SRP_RNA from 1 species